rnacentral:rRNA from 1 species
AAGCCAUGCGAGUCGAGAGGGUUCGGCCCUCGGCAGACUGCUCAGUAACACGUGGAUAACCUAACCUUAGGUGGAAGAUAACCUCGGGAAACUGAGAAUAAUAUUCCAUAGAUCUAGGAUGCUGGAAUGCAUCUAGAUUGAAAGUUCCGACGCCUAAGGAUGGGUCUGCGGACUAUCAGGUUGUAGUCAGGGUAAAGACCUGACUAGCCUACGACGGAUAUGGGUUGUGAGAGCAAUAGCCCAGAGACGAUAUCUGAGACACGAUAUCGGGCCCUACGGGGCGCAGCAGGCGCGAAAUCUUCACAAUGUGCGAAAGCACGAUGAGGGGAUCCCAAGUGCUGGCACGUAAGUGUCAGCUGUUUCUUAGUCUAAAAAACUGAGAGAGUAAGGGCUGGGUAAGACUGGUGCCAGCCGCCGCGGUAACACCAGCAGCCCAAGUGCUGGCCACGAUUAUUGGGCCUAAAGCGCUCGUAGCCGGGUCAGCAAGUCCCUUGUGAAAUCGGGCCGCCUAACGGUUCGGCGUGCAAGGGAUACUGUUGGUCUUGAGGCCGGGAGAGGUCGGAGGUACUCCUGGGGUAGCGGUGAAAUGCUCUAAUCCUAGGGGGACCACCAGUGGCGAAGGCGUCCGACCAGAACGGACCUGACGGUGAGGGGCGAAGGCUAGGGGAGCGAACGGGAUUAGAUACCCCGGUAGUCCUAGCUGUAAAGCAUGCGGGCCAGGUGUCUGGCGCUCCUUGAGGGCGCUAGGUGCCGGAGGGAAGCCGUUAAGCCCGCCGCCUGGGAAGUACGGCCGCAAGGCUGAAACUUAAAGAAAUUGGCGGGGGAGCACCACAAGAGGUGGGACCUGCGGUA